ACGAUGGAUAAUACCCAAUAUACUGAGGAGUUAAAGGAGGAAUCCGCCUAGGGAGGGGCUUGCGUCUGAUUAGCUAGUUGGUAAGGUAAAAGCUUACCAAGGCAACGAUCAGUAGCUGGUCUGAGAGGAUGAUCAGCCACACUGGGACUGAGACACGGCCCAGACUCCUACGGGAGGCAGCAGUGGGGAAUUUUCCGCAAUGGGCGAAAGCCUGACGGAGCAAUACCGCGUGGAGGUAGAAGGCCCACGGGUCGUAAACUCCUUUUCUGAGAGAAGAAGAUAUGACGGUAUCUCAGGAAUAAGCAUCGGCUAACUCUGUGCCAGCAGCCGCGGUAAGACAGAGGAUGCAAGCGUUAUCCGGAAUAAUUGGGCGUAAAGCGUCUGUAGGUGGCUUUUUAAGUGUACCGUCAAAUCCCAGGGGCUCAACCCUGGCCAGGCGGUAGAAACUAUUA
rnacentral:rRNA from 1 species